rnacentral:rRNA from 1 species
CAGUCGCCACGGUAAUACGUAGGUGGCAAGCGUUGUCCGGAAUUAUUGGGCGUAAAGGGCUCGCAGGCGGUUUCUUAAGUCUGAUGUGAAAGCCCCCGGCUCAACCGGGGAGGGUCAUUGGAAAUUGGGAAACUUGAGUGCAGAAGAGGAGAGUGGAAUUCCACGUGUAGCGGUGAAAUGCGUAGAGACGUGGAGGAACACCAGUGGCGAAGGCGACUCUCUGGUCUGUAACUGACGCUGAGGAGCGAAAGCGUGGGGAGCGAACAGGAUUAGAUACCCCCGUAGUCCCUGUCUCUUAUAC